rnacentral:rRNA from 1 species
GACGAACGCUGGCGGCGUGCCUAAUACAUGCAAGUAGAACGCUGAAGGAGGAGCUUGCUUCUCUGGAUGAGUUGCGAACGGGUGAGUAACGCGUAGGUAACCUGCCUGGUAGCGGGGGAUAACUAUUGGAAACGAUAGCUAAUACCGCAUAAUAGUAGAUGUUGCAUGACAUUUGCCUAAAAGGUGCAAUUGCAUCACUAACAGAUGGACCUGCGUUGUAUUAGCUAGUUGGUGGGGUAACGGCUCACCAAGGCGACGAUACAUAGCCGACCUGAGAGGGUGAUCGGCCACACUGGGACUGAGACACGGCCCAGACUCCUACGGGAGGCAGCAGUAGGGAAUCUUCGGCAAUGGACGGAAGUCUGACCGAGCAACGCCGCGUGAGUGAAGAAGGUUUUCGGAUCGUAAAGCUCUGUUGUAAGAGAAGAACGAGUGUGAGAGUGGAAAGUUCACACUGUGACGGUAUCUUACCAGAAAGGGACGGCUAACUACGUG